rnacentral:rRNA from 1 species
GACGAACGCUGGCGGCGUGCUUAACACAUGCAAGUCGAACGAAGUGGCGCACGGGUGAGUAACGCGUAAUCAACCCUCCCUUCAGAGGGGGACAACAGUUGGAAACGACUGCUAAUACCGCAUACUGAAGGAGGGGAUUGCGUCUGAUUAGCUAGUUGGCGGGGUAACGGCCCACCAAGGCGAUGAUCAGUAGCCGGUCUGUGAGGAUGGACGGCCACAUUGGGACUGGGACACGGCCCAGACUCCUACGGGAGGCAGCAGUGGGGAAUCUUCCGCAAUGGACGAAAGUCUGACGGAGCAACGCCGCGUGAGUGAUGACGGCCUUCGGGUUGUAAAGCUCUGUUAAUCGGGACGCGGUACCGGAAUAGAAAGCCACGGCUAACUACGUGCCAGCAGCCGCGGUAAUUC